UAUCUCUGACCUGGGUAGAGCAGCAUCUGGUUGGUGGCGCCCAUUUCAUAUCAGCCAGAGGUACAGCAAUUCCUUGUUUAUCCCAGCUUGGCUUUUAGUCUGUGCCCACGCCUGGUUCACAUGUGGAAAAUAUAGGA
ensembl:snoRNA